AAGUUUCAGCAGUGGCAGUAUCGUAGCCAAUGAGGUUAAUCCGAGGCGCGAUUAUUGCUAAUUGAAAACUUUUCCCAAUACCCCGCCAUGAUGACUUGAAAUAUAGUAGGCAUUGGCAAUUUUUGACAGUCUCUAUGGAAA
ensembl:snRNA U4 U4 spliceosomal RNA